rnacentral:rRNA from 1 species
AGUCGAGCGGUAGCACAGAGAGCUUGCUCUCGGGUGACGAGCGGCGGACGGGUGAGUAAUGUCUGGGAAACUGCCUGAUGGAGGGGGAUAACUACUGGAAACGGUAGCUAAUACCGCAUAAUGUCGCAAGACCAAAGUGGGGGACCUUCGGGCCUCAUGCCAUCAGAUGUGCCCAGAUGGGAUUAGCUAGUAGGUGGGGUAACGGCUCACCUAGGCGACGAUCCCUAGCUGGUCUGAGAGGAUGACCAGCCACACUGGAACUGAGACACGGUCCAGACUCCUACGGGAGGCAGCAGUGGGGAAUAUUGCACAAUGGGCGCAAGCCUGAUGCAGCCAUGCCGCGUGUGUGAAGAAGGCCUUCGGGUUGUAAAGCACUUUCAGCGGGGAGGAAGGCGUUAAGGUUAAUAACCUUGGCGAUUGACGUUACCCGCAGAAGAAGCACCGGCUAACUUCCGUGCCAGCAGCCGCGGUAAUACGGAGGGUGCAAGCGUUAAUCGGAAUUACUGGGCGUAAAGCGCACGCAGGCGGUCUGUCAAGUCGGAUGUGAAAUCCCCGGGCUCAACCUGGGAACUGCAUUCGAAACUGGCAGGCUAGAGUCUUGUAGAGGGGGGUAGAAUUCCAGGUGUAGCGGUGAAAUGCGUAGAGAUCUGGAGGAAUACCGGUGGCGAAGGCGGCCCCCUGGACAAAGACUGACGCUCAGGUGCGAAAGCGUGGGGAGCAAACAGGAUUAGAUACCCUGGUAGUCCACGCCGUAAACGAUGUCGAUUUGGAGGUUGUGCCCUUGAGGCGUGGCUUCCGGAGCUAACGCGUUAAAUCGACCGCCUGGAGAGUACGGCCGCAAGGUUAAAACUCAAAUGAAUUGACGGGGGCCCGCACAAGCGGUGGAGCAUGUGGUUUAAUUCGAUGCAACGCGAAGAACCUUACCUGGUCUUGACAUCCACAGAACUUUCCAGAGAUGGAUUGGUGCCUUCGGGAACUGUGAGACAGGUGCUGCAUGGCUGUCGUCAGCUCGUGUUGUGAAAUGUUGGGUUAAGUCCCGCAACGAGCGCAACCCUUAUCCUUUGUUGCCAGCGGUUCGGCCGGGAACUCAAAGGAGACUGCCAGUGAUAAACUGGAGGAAGGUGGGGAUGACGUCAAGUCAUCAUGGCCCUUACGACCAGGGCUACACACGUGCUACAAUGGCAUAUACAAAGAGAAGCGACCUCGCGAGAGCAAGCGGACCUCAUAAAGUAUGUCGUAGUCCGGAUUGGAGUCUGCAACUCGACUCCAUGAAGUCGGAAUCGCUAGUAAUCGUAGAUCAGAAUGCUACGGUGAAUACGUUCCCGGGCCUUGUACACACCGCCCGUCACACCAUGGGAGUGGGUUGCAAAAGAAGUAGGUAGCUUAACCUUCGGGAGGGCGCU